rnacentral:lncRNA from 1 species
AAGCCUCUACCUCAAGAAUUCAUAUCUAGCUUUAGGAAGUGACCUUGUUAGGAUAUGAGCACUUUAUUCUUUAUGUUUUGCAGUAGAUUAAUUUCAUUUCUCCUUCUCUCUGUGCCUCCCCCUUAGAAAGUAGAGCUUUUAUCUUGAAGUGUAUUGUUUUGCCAUGGAAAACUGGAUUACUAGCAGUUGAACUUGCAGCUUGAUUAUCCACAAAUAUAUGUGUGCUGUCCUGUUGUUUCAUAUGCAAAUCUGUCUUGAGCUUUUUGAUCUGAAGAGCAUGAUAACAGCAGCAGUUGCAGCCACAUAUUCUGCUUCUGUUGUGGAUUGAGCUAUGAUUUCUUGCUUCUUUGAAUGCCAUGAAAAAAUCCAGAACCAAAGCUAAAAUGAUAACCAAAAGUACUUUUCAUAUUAUCAGCACACCAGCUCAAUCACUAUCUGAGUUGCCAAGAAGACUGGAAUAUUCUUGAGAAAAGACUAGAUAUAUAUCGGAGGUCUAAUAGUGACCUGAUAGCGGAUGAGACAAUAGGUUCAAGAAAAAUCUCGCUAGGAUAUGUUCUGAUAUCUUCUUAAAAGUGGACUUUAAACUUAACUCAACUUCACAAAAUCAGUUUGUAAGGAUAGGUUUGCUCUCACUAGUACACUAUAAUUUGGUCAUAUCUCUAGUCAAUGAUCCAACAGUAUAAAGUUUAUUGUAUGCAAGAUGUUAGGCCUUGUUGCACUUGAAUACAUUAGGCAGUCUAUAAGGCUCUUGUAUAGCUUGUCAUCCACUUUUUUGUCUUCCUUACAAAAAGCCCCUUUUGAUUCAUUGGAGUUGCAGCUGGUUUGGUCCCUUCCAUGUUAAACUUCUUGAAAACUUCAUUUGCAUAUUUUUCUUGACAAAAAAUUAUUUCAUUCUGUUUUUUAUAGACCUUCAUACCAAGAUAGAAUGUCAUCCUUAAGGCCUCUCAUUUUAGAAACACCUUUCAAUUUUUCCUUGAACUUAUCAAUCUGCUCAUUGCUACUCUUACUAAGAGAUCUUCAAUAUAUAGAGAUACUUGUAUUUCACCAUCAAUUUGACAUAUGCAGUAGAUUCGCUCAAACAUUUUUAAAGCCUAAGUUCACCAAGUGGGAAUCAAUUCUGCUAUACCAUGACAACGAUACAUACAAAGCUUUCCUUAGUUGAUACACUUUCUCCUCCUGCCCUUGAAUAACAAACCCUUCAGGUUGCUAAACAAAAAUUUCUUCCUCCAAGUAUCAUUCAAAAGUUGAUUUCACAUUCAUUUGAUGUAUAAUCCAGCCCUUUUGUGCAGCAAUAGAAAACUAAAUUCUUAUUGCCUCUAGCCUGGAAACCGGGGCAAAAGUCUCAAAAAUCAACCCUAGAACCGAAGUAUAUCUAUUGACAACAAGCCUUGCCAUUUUUUUGUUUGUAGAACCAUCUGGAUUGAGUUCAGUUCUAUAAACACAUUUGACACCAAUGGCUUUCUUGUGGUGAGGUCAGUCCACCAGCUCCCAUGUUUGAUUUCUUGUAAUCAUUUUGAGCUCCUUCUUCAUUGCAUUUAUCCAUUUUUGGUCAGCUGCGCCUUUUUCAUAUUCUUCAGCCCCAUGACAUCAACAUUGCACCUUUGGUAGGUGUCUGAAAGUGAUCUAGUUCCUCUUAUGGGUUCUUCAUCAACAUCUUUAUUCUCCUCCUGAAAUUCAGGCUUCAUGUCAUCUUCCUAGUUCCAACUCUCUGAUUCCAAAAAUUUCACAUCCCUGCUAACAAUUACUUUGAAGUUGAGUUAAAGUGUACACAAAUUUCAGGUUCUGAUUUUUUGUCCAAGUUGUUCCUCUUUAUUGGAGGUAUGCAAGAGAAACAUAGGCAACCAAAUGUCUUCAGAUUUGAGCUUUGGUUUGUAGUUGUCCCAUGCUUCAAAUGGAGUCUUCUUUUGCAAAGCUUUUUGUUGGCACUCUGUUUAGCUAAAACACUGCUGUGUUUGCAGCCUCUGUUCAAAAUUUCUUUGGCAGUCCUUAUCAUGGAGUAAAUAUACCUUGCCAUUUCCUUAAUUAUUCGGGCUUUUCUUUCCAUGUAAAAGGAUGAUUUGCCUUAGCAAUUAGGGAUAUUCUCCAUUAUCAGGUUCUUCUUUCUUGUCCAAUUUGUCCCUCUUUAUUGGAGGUAUGCAAGAGAAACAUAGGCAACCAAAUUUCUCCAGAUUUGUUAGCUUUGGUUUGUAGUUGUGCAUGCUUCAAAUGGAGUCUUCUUUUGCAAAGCUUUUGUUGUCACUCUGUGUUUAGCUAAAACACUGCUGUGUUUGCAGCCUCCUUUCCAAAAUUUAUUUGGCAGUCCUUAUCAUGGAGUAAAUAUAGCUUGCCAUUUCCAUAAUUACUCGAACAUUUCUUUCCAUAUAAAAGAUAUGGUUUGCCUUAGCGAUUAGGAUAUUCUCCAUUAUUAGGUUUCCCUAUAUUUUAAUUUGAAUGAUUAUAAAUAAAGGUUUUACAUGUGUGAUCAAACACACAAUUCACAACUACGUAAAAACUCUGUACUCCACAACACCAUAUUUUUGUGGAGUGCACAGUGGUAUCAAUUGAUGUUCAAUGCCUGCAUCUACAUAAGCUGUCAAAAUUUUCAGAAAAAUAACAUAAGCUGUCAAAAUUUUGAGAAAAAUAACGGGCUCCAUUAUUGGACUUUAUCACCUGCAUUCGCUUUUCAACCUUUUGAGAAGAGAGAAACUGAGAAUGCAUAUGAUGUAUUCUGUGUGUUUAGACCACAAUAAAUCUCCUCAAUUUAUAGUAGAGAGAACAUUUUUACAUAAUAUUUAAUUACUCCAUAACAUAACUAUGGAAUCAAUCUAAUUGAUCCUAAUAUCAUCAAUUACGUAUCUAUAGAUUCAACACUCCUGCUCAAGCUUGAGCAUAUAAGUCAUCUACACCAAGCUUGUUACAUAUGUAGUUAAUCCGAGGACCCAUUAAUGACUGAAAUAGACUUUCACAGCCUUAGGAACCAAUAUCCUUAAAGCUUAAAAUGUUAUUUUAAGACAUAAAUCUGUAUCAAUUAUUAAAUAUGUAAUCUUAAAUAUUUUUGUUAGUUGAUUUAAUUUGAUUUCCUUAAUUAACUGAUAGAAUAGGACUUCCUUUCUAAAUUGUUAAAGCUUAAGGAUUUCUAAAUAUUUAUUAAUCUUUGAAGAUAAAUGCUUCAUAACUCUUACAUGUUCAUUUUUUUAAACGAAGUUUGAAUAAUAAUAAUAAUAAUAAUAAUAAUAAUAACAAUAAUAAUAAUAAUAUUUCAUUAGUUUGCCCUUUUAUGAAAAUGAACACUUGAAUAUUUGAUUUGCAGGUCACGCGUGCCAAUUCUGUCUCUGAUCUUUAUAAUGCUAUUGGUGAGGAUUUCUGGUCAUCUACGUGGUGCAACAGUACUGCAUUUGAAGGGUAAGUGUGCAAGAUGCAGAUGGUGCCUGGGAACAUAUAAUUUUUUUGAAUACUUAUUUCUGGAUGUUAAUGCUUCAGGAAACAACUUGAGGGAACAAGGAUAACACUUGUAAAAACGUGAGCUUGAUACAGUUAAAAUUUAAGUUAUUUUCUUCCACAUUUUCCUUUUUUUGUUUCUUAACUGUUCAUACCUGUAUAUUUUAUUGCGGGAAUGGUGAACAUUUUCAGGGAGGAGCAUGGUUUUGACUUUGCAAUUAGAACACCUUGUACACCUGCUAGAUGGGAGGAUUAUGAUGCAGAAAUGGCAAUGGCAUGGGAUGUACGUUAUAGUUAUAACUAUACCAAACUACUUCGAUUAUAUAUUUUUAGCCAAUAUAUAUAUGACCCUAUGGGCCUCUUUAUGUGGCUUGCUUCUAAUACGGGCAUGCAAAAAAUCCAGAUAUUCAAAUCCAAAUUACUUUAUGUUCAUCUUAACAUAUCCAUUUCAAAUCCAAAAUACAUAUUUUUGGAUUAGAAAUUUGUUGGAUAUUUUUUUUGGAUUUAAAAAAAUCCAAAAUCAAUGUUUGUCCAAAAAAAUUGUUUGGUCAAAACAAUUUUUUGUUGGUUUCGAUUGAGACACUUUUUACUCAAUUUGCAAAGUGUCUCUUUGGUUCGGACCAUGGUUGGGUUGUUGUUGGGUCAGUCCCUGUGUUGCCUACCUACCAAACAGUAUCCGUGUUGCUGGCAGUUCAUAUUGCCACCUGAUAAAAAAAAAUAUCAGAAAAAUAUUUAUAAGUAAAAAUAAUUUAGCUGUAAGAAAAAUACUUGAAAAAAAGGAAAAACUUCUAUUAGAAUCAAGGAAUACGAGUAUCAUCAUGUUAAACCAUAGUGUUAUUAGUCACUCUAUAUACUCCAUCUCUCAAAAUUAAUAAUUUAAUCUUGAAAGAUAUCUUAAUUAUUUAGUAAAUAUAUAUAACAACUAAAUUAGUUCAAAUAAAACUGAAUUUAUUAGAUAUUAUAGCCUUGGUUUGAAUGCCAUUUGUAUCCAAAUUAAAUGGAUGUGGAUUUAAACUAAUUUAAAUCCAAAUUCAAAUAAUUUAAAAAAUAACCAACUUAAUAUAAUUAAAUGGAUCUGAAUUUCAAAUCUAAUCUAUUUUAUUGGAUUUUUAAAAAUUCAAUUCAUCCCACCCCUAGCUCCUGUAAAGGAUGUGUGUUUUAGUCUUUACCAAUGAUCCAUGUCCCAUCAUUACAACGUGGUUGACCUAUGUAGUUACUUUUCAAGUUGCUUGAUGAAUUUCAACAAUUUACCUUGUAUCCAUCUUGAUAUCUUUCAGGCUCUCCGCAAUGCUUACUGUGGUGAAAAUUAUGGGUCUACUGACUUUGAUGCGCUCGCAAAUGUGAGAGAUGCAAUAUUAAGGAUGACAUAUUACUGGUAGGGCCUUAUAAUACAUAAAUUCUCUAGCCUCUUGGAGCGUUUGAAGCCAUUAUGUAAAUCUUUUUCUUCUAUCUUUGGUCUAAGUCAUUCCGUAAAUUUAUCUCCCUUUUUCAGGUAUAAUUUUAUGCCACUGUCCAGAGGAUCUGCUGUUGUCGGAUUUGCAGUCAUGCUGGGUUUGUUCCUUGCUGCUAAUAUGGAGUUCACAGGAAGUAUCCCACAAGGUUUGCAGGUUGAUUGGGAAGCCAUUUUGAACUUGGAUCCAAAUUCCUUUGUGGAUUCUGUCAAAAGUUGGUUAUACCCAUCUCUGAAGGUAACAACCUCAUGGAAAGACUAUCAUGAUGUAGCAUCAACCUUUGCAACAACAGGGUCGGUUGUUGCUGCCUUGAGCACUUCUGAUGAUUGAACUCCUUUGAAAUAAUGUCCAGGUGAGUGAAUGGCUCUGUUUUCCAAUUUCUGCUUUUCUUAAUUUCUGCUCGUCCUAUAAUGUUUAUAAAUAGUUACCCAAUAUGCAGUAUUGGUUUAUUCAGUAUCUCUGUAAAAGCAAAUUCAAUACUGUAUUACCUGUUUUUCGUAGGUCUCUGUAUUUUGCCUUAGUACUGCAUUGCUGCUGGUCUUUGACACGCUUCGGAAAUGCAGCAGAACUAUUAAUUGAAAGCUUUCACAUUUACCAACUGAUCUUCCUGUUCAGGCUCAAUCUUUGUACCCGCUUUUUAAAUUGUAAUAUUAUAUGUUAACCUUUAUACAAUCUUGUAAAUUAGGGCAUUGGAUGAUUGAAUUACCAUUUAUCUUCUCUCCUAUUCUAUUACCGCUAUGUGGCUGCCCCGCUCCCUACAAAAAACAGAUUCGAGACUAAUAAGUAUGUUUGUAUGUUAUUAAAUUGGUUUAGUGAGAAUGGGGUAGUAUUAAAUUGUUCAAAGUGAGAAUAAAGUAUUACAUUCUUAGCAUUUUUUAGUCAUAACUCCAUUUCCUGAUUUAUUGUUAAUGGUACGUCAUGGUUCGGUGUGCAUUUUAUGUAGGAUUUAUAACGCAAUUUUUCAACACAGAAUAAAAUUGCAGAAGGUAGGGCGAAAUUUCACAAAUUUUGCUAGGUUUUUCACAAAAUUUCAGAAAAAUUGUCCGAAAUAAUUUUUUCCUGAAAUUCCACGUAAGAAUCUGGAUUGAAUAUGGGACAAAACGCGACAAAUUUCACGUCAAACCAAUGAGUAUUUACCUAGGAAAAAGAUCAAACAGUUUCACACACAAACGAACCUUCGUUUCAAUCCUUGCAGUGAUGAAUCAAAAAUUUAUUGAAAAUCUUGUGUGACGAAUUUGGGGCUCAAAUCUCAGCCAAAACUCAAUACACACAAGGACGAAUGUCUCAUAAAAUUUUCAGAACAAAAGACCAAAGGAAUAGGGGGUGGUAAGACCCAGACCGAGAGUGAACAAAACCGGUUUUUCGAAAACAAAAUGUCCUGACUUUUCUUCCCUGUAUCUCCUUUUUGUGAUUUGUUUAUGGACGUGCCUCCUUCGCAGGGUNNNNNNNNNNNNNNNNNNNNNNNNNNNNNNNNNNNNNNNNNNNNNNNNNNNNNNNNNNNNNNNNNNNNNNNNNNNNNNNNNNNNNNNNNNNNNNNNNNNNNNNNNNNNNNNNNNNNNNNNNNNNNNNNNNNNNNNNNNNNNNNNNNNNNNNNNNNNNNNNNNNNNNNNNNNNNNNNNNNNNNNCUGAAUUUGGGACAAAACGCGACAAAUUUCACGUCAAACAGAUGAGUAUUCACCUAGGAAAAAGAUCAAACAGUUUCACACACAAACGAACCUUCCUUUCAACCCUGGCAGUGAUGAAUCAAAAAUUUAUUGAAAAUCUCGUGGGACGAAUAUAUGGCUCAAAUCUCAGCCAAAACUCAAUACACACAAUGAGGAAUGUCUGGUAAAAUUUUCAGACCAAAAGACCCAAGGAAUAGGGCGUAGUAAGACACAGACCGAGAGUGAACAAAACCGGUUUUCCGAAAACAAAAUGUCCUGGCUUUUCUUCCCUAUAUCUCAUUUUUGUGAAUUGUUUAUGGACGUGCCUCCUUCGUAGGGAGCAAAUAGCACAUGAAAGUACUUGUGUGAAUUUUUCAACGCAAUUUUUCAACACAAAAUAAAAUUGGAGAAAGUAGGGCGAAAUUUCACAAAUUUUGCUAGAGGAUAGCCUUAGUUUUUCACAAAAUUCCAGAAAAAUUGUCCCGGAAUAAUUUUUUUCUUAAAUUUCACAUAAGAAUCUGGACUGAAUUUGGGACAAAACGCGACAAAUUUCAAGUCAAACAGAUGAGUAUUCACCUAGAAAAAAGAUCAAACAAUUUCACACACAAACGAAUUUUCGUUUCAAUCCUUGCAGUGAUGAAUCAAAAAUUUAUUGAAAAUCUUGUGUGACGAAUUUGGGGCUCAAAUCUCAGCCAAAACUCAAUACACACAAGAACGAAUGUCUCAUAAAAUUUUCAGAACAAAAGACCAAAGGAAUAGGGGGUAGUAAGACCCAGACCGAGAGUGAACAAAACCGGUUUUUCGAAAACAAAAUGUCCUGACUUUUCUUCCCUAUAUCUCCUUUUUGUGAUUUGUUUAUGGACGUGCCUCCUUCGCAGGGUGCAAACAACACAUGAAAGUACUUGUGUGAAUGUUUCAACGCAAUUUUUCAACACAGAAUAAAAUUGUAGAAAGUAGGGCGAAAUUUCACAAAUUUUGCUAGAGGAUAGCCUUGGUUUUUCACAAAAUUUCAGAAAAAUUGUCCCGGAAUAAGUUUUUCCUGAAAUUCCACGUAAGAAUCUGGACUGNNNNNNNNNNNNNNNNNNNNNNNNNNNNNNNNNNNNNNNNNNNNNNNNNNNNNNNNNNNNNNNNNNNNNNNNNNNNNNNNNNNNNNNNNNNNNNNNNNNNCAAAACGCGACAAAUUUCACGUCAAACAGAUGAGUAUUCACCUAGGAAAAAGAUCAAACAGUUUCACACACAAACGAACCUUCCUUUCAACUCUGGCAGUGAUGAAUCAAAAAUUUAUUGAAAAUCUUGUGGGACGAAUCUAGGGCUCAAAUCUCAGCCAAAACUCAAUACACACAAUGAGGAAUGUAUAGUAAAAUUUUCAGACCAAAAGACCAAAGGAAUAGGGGGUAGUAAGACACAGACCAAGAGUGAACAAAACCGGUUUUUCGAAAACAAAAUGUCCUGACUUUUCUUCCCUAUAUCUCCUUUUUGUGAUUUGUUUAUGGACGUGCCUCCUUCGCAGGGUGCAAACAAGACAUGAAUGUACUUCUAUGAAUGUUUCAAUGCAAUUUUUCAACACAGAAUAAAAUUGUAGAAAGUAAGGCGAAAUUUCACAAAUUUUGCUAAAGGAUAGCCUUGGUUUUUACAAAAUUUCAGAAAAAUUGUCCCGGAAUAAGUUUUUCCUGAAAUUCCACGUAAGAAUCUGGACUGAAUUUGGGACAAAACGCGACAAAUUUCACGUCAAACAGAUGAGUAUUCACCUAGGAAAAAGAUCAAACAGUUUCACACACAAACGAACCUUCCUUUCAACCCUGGCAGUGAUAAAUCAAAAAUUUAUUGAAAAUCUUGUGGGACGAAUCUAGGGCUCAAAUCUCAGCCAAAACUCAAUACACACAAUGAGGAAUGUCUGGUAAAAUUUUCAGACCAAAAGACCAAAGGAAUAGGGGGUAGUAAGACACAGACCGAGAGUGAACAAAACCGGUUUUCCGAAAACAAAAUGUCCUGGCUUUUCUUCCCUAUAUCUCAUUUUUGUGAUUUGUUUACGGACGUGCCUCCUUCUUAGGGAGCAAAUAGCACAUGAAAGUACUUGUGUGAAUUUUUCAACGCAAUUUUUCAACACAAAAUAAAAUUGGAGAAAGUAGGGCGAAAUUUCACAAAUUUUGCUAGAGGAUGGUAGCCUUGAUUUUUCACAAAAUUUCAGAAAAAUUGUCCCGGAAUAAUUGUUUCCUGAAAUUCCACGUAAGAAACUGGACUGAAUUUGGGAAAAAACGCGACAAAUUUCACAUCAAACGGAUGAGUAUUCACCUAGAAAAAAGAUCAAGUAGUUUCACACACAAACAAACCUUCAUUUCAACCCUAACAGUGUUGCAUAAAAAAUUUGUUGAAAAUCUUGUGGGGCGAAUCUGGGGCUCAAAUCUCAGCCAGAACUCAAUUCACACAAUGACUAAUGUCUGAUAAAAUUGUCAGACUAAAAACCAAAGGAAUAGGGGGAAGUAAGACACAAAUCGAGAGUGAACAAAACCGGUUUUCCGAAAACAAAAUGUCCUGGCUUUUCUUCCCUAUAUCUCAUUUUUAUGAUUUGUUUAUGGACGUGCCUCCUUCGCAGGGUGCAAACAGCACAUGAAAGUACUUGUGUAAAUUUUCAUCGUAAUUUUUCGACACAUAAAAAAAUUGAAGAAAGUAGAGCGAAAUUUCACAAAUUUUGCUAGAGGCAUAGCCUUGGUUUUUCACAAAAUUUCAGAAAAAUUGUCCCUGAAUAAUUUUUUCCUGAAAUUCCACAUAAGAAUCUGGACUGAAUUUGGGACAAAACGCGACAAAUUUCACGUCAAACGGAUGAGUAUUCACCUAGGAAAAAAUCAAACAGUUUCACACACAAACGAACCUUCCUUUCAACCCUGGCAGUGAUGAAUAAAAAAUUUAUUGAAAAUCUUGUGGGACGAAUCUGGGGCUCAAAUCUCAUCCAAAACGCAAUACACACAAUGACGAAUGUUUGGUAAAAUUUUCAGACCAAAAGACCAAAGGAAUAGGGGGUAGGUAGACCCAGACCUAGAGUGAAUACAACCGGUUUUCCGAAAACAAAAUGUCCUGGCUUUUCUUUCCUAUAUCUCCUUUUUGUGAUUUGUUUAUGGACUUGCCUCCUUCGCAGGGUGCAAACAGCCCAUGAAAGUAGUUGUGUGAAUUUUUCAACUCAAUUUUUUAGCACAGAAUAAAGUUGCAGAAAGUAGGGCGAAAUUUCACAAAAUUUGCUAGAGGAUAGCCUUGGUUUUUCAUAAAAUUUCAGAAAAAUUCUCCCGGAAUAAUAUUUUCCUGAAAUUCCACGUAAGAAUAUGGACUGAAUUUGGGACAAAACGCGACAAAUUUCACGUCAAACGGAUGAGUAUUUACCUAGGAAAAAGAUCAAACAGUUUCACACACAAGCGGACCUUCCUUUCAACCCUGGCUGUGAUGAAUAAAAAAUUUAUUGAAAUUCUUGUGGGACGAAUCUGGGGCUCAAAUCUCAGCCAAAAUUCAAUACACACAAUGACGAAUGUCUGGUAAAAUUUUCAGAUGAAAAGACCAAAGGAAUAGGGCGUAGUAAGACCCAGACCAAGAGUGAACAAAACCGGUUUUCCGAAAACAAAAUGUCCUGGCUUUUCUUUCCUAUAUUUCCUUUUUGUGAUUUGUUUAUGGAUGUGCCUCCUUUGCAGGGUCCAAACAGCACAUGAAAGUACUUGUAUGAAUGUUUCAACGCAAUUUUUCAACACAAAAUAAAAUUGGAGAAAGUAGGGCGAAAUUUCACAAAUUUUGCUAGAUGAUAGCCUUGGUUUUUCAUAAAAUUUCAGAAAAAUUGUCACGGAAUAUUUUUUUCCUGAAAUUCCACGUAACAAUCUGGACUGAAUUUAGAACAAAACGCGACAAAUUUCACGUCAAACGGAUGAGUAUUCAUAUAGGAAAAAGAUCAAAAACUUUCACACACAAACGAACCUUCCUUUCAACUCUGGCAGUGAUGAAUAAAAAGUUUAUUGAAAAUCUUGUGGGACGAAUCUGGGGCUCAAAUCUCAGCCAAAACUCAAUACACACAAUGACGAAUGUCUGAUAAAAUUUUCAAACCAAAAGACCGAAGGAAUAGGGUUGUGUAAGACCCAGACCGAGAGUGAACAAAACCGGUUUUCCAAAAACAAAAUGUCCUGGCUUUUCUUCCCUAUAUCUCAUUUUUGUGAUUUUUUUAUGGACGUGCCUCCUUCGCAGGGUGCAAACAGCACUAAAGUACUUGUGUGAAUUUUCAUCGUAAUAUUUUAGCACAGAAUAAAAUUGCAUAAAGUAGGGCGAAAUUUCACAAAUUUUGCUAGAGGAUAGCCUUGGUUUUUAACAAAAUUUCAGAAAAAUUGUUCCGAAAUAAAUUUUUUCCUAAAAUUCCACGUAUUAAUCUGGACUGAAUUUGGGACAAAACGCGAUAAAUUUCACGUCAAACGGAUGAGUAUUCACCUAGGAAAAAGAUCAAACAGUUUUACACACAAACGAACCUUCCUUUCAACCCUGGCAGUGAUGAGUAAAAAAUUUAUUGAAAAUCUUGUGGGACGAAUCUGGGGCUCAAAUCUUAGUCAAAACUCAAUACACACAUUGAAGAAUGUCUGGUAAAAUUUUCAGACCAAAAGACCCAAGGAAUAAGGCGUAGUAAGACCCAGACCCAGAGUGAAAAUAACCGGUUUUCCGAAAACAAAAUGUCCUGACUUUUCUUCCCUAUAUCUUCUUUUUGUGAUUUGUUUAUGGACGUGCCUCCUUCGCAAGGUGCAAACAACACAUGAAAGUACUUGUGUGAAUUUUUCAACACAAAUUUUCAACACGGAAUAAAUUUGCAGAAAGUAUGACAAAAUUUCACAAAUUUUGCUAGAGGAUAGCCUUGGUUUUUCAAUAAAAAAAUUCUUUGUCACGUUUUUGCCUUUUAAUUAUUUAACAAUUUUCGUGACUCUUUCAAAUGCAACGGCUAUCUUAACCAGUUAUAGGAUCCAACAAGUAAAAAAUGUGAAGACAGAAGAAACUAAGUUUUUUUUGUAAUUUUUUUAUUGGGUCAUAUCUAAAUUCGAUUUUCUAGGAAUUAACAAGAUUUGCAUGUUUUAUCUGAAACUAAAUAAAACAAUCAGAAUUAUUAGAUGAUAGUAUUAUUAAUAAUUAUAGUAAUAUAAUUAUUCUUCAAUUUAAUCUAUUAAUUAAAUAUAUUUUUAAAAUAUGAAGUUGUUUAGUUUUUAAAUAUUAAAUUAUGUAGUCAUUUUCAAAAUAAUUUUUCUAAAAAGUCUAACAAUUUAUUUUGAAAUUACAAAUUUUAUAAAAAAACUUGUGACAAGUUAUAGUUCAAUCCAAUUUGUUCUUAUCUAUGAUUGGUUGAGGUGAUUGAGUAUGAUAAAAAACAAAUAAAGUUUAGUCCAAUCCAACUCCUUACACUUCUAACAAAAAUUAAAGAAAAAUAAUUUGAUUUAGGGUGAGUUUGGUUUUUGUCAAAAAAAAAAAAGUUUUAAUUCUUCAACUUUAUUUAUAAUUUUUUAAAUAAAACAAAAAUAAUAUUUUGAAAUUGUAUACUAUCAAAUAAAAUUUUAUAUUAUGUAGUUUUUAAACAAUUUAUAAAUUAUUACAUACAUAUUUUUAUUUAAAAAUAUUAAUUAUCAUUUUGAUAAUAAGGCUAUAAAAUAUUUUAACCUUGUUAGUUGGAAUGACAACUUAGUUCAAAUAAAAUACACUAAAGUCACCAACUCUAAAUACAAAUUCUUUCUUUGUAUUUGAUUUACACUAAAAAAAAUAAAAAAAAAUUAAAGCAGAUUAGUAGACUUAAUUAAAAUUAUACGAAUAAAUGAGUACUUUUAUCCGACUUUUACGUAAAAGUUAUAUUUUUGUUAGCUAUAUAUGUUUUAAUAUUCAUUUUAACAAUACGACUUUUGUUAUGAAAAUUUGAAAUUAUACUAUUUGAUGAUGACUUGUUCAUAUAUAUAUAUAUAUAUAUAUAUAUAUAUAUAUAUAUAUAUAUAUAUAUAUUUAUUGCAUUUACCUAUUUUUGUAUUUUUUUUACCAAAUUACAUCAUUUUGGUCAUUUUUCCUAAUUUUUUACACACCAUCAUCACCAUCCAAAAAACAUAGGCAAAAUAUUAAACAAUAUAAUUUUCAUAAUUUUUCAACUCUAUUACCAUGUUUUCAUCUUCUUCUUCCUCAACAUCAUAGAAUCAAUUUUAUUUUGGACCACAAAAUCUUCCAUUUCUCGACGUGUAUCAUUCCAAAUUGACUUGGGCGAAUCAAAAAGCCACAUUGUGUUCAUCUGUAUGUUAACCAUUUGUGCCGCGUAGUAUGGAUCUUGAAUCCCUUUCUCUUUCGAGACCUAUAUUGAUCGCUAAUGAACAUUAAACAAUCCAUCAAACUCUCCUUAACUACCUCUUUCAUGUCCUAAGCAUAUUAUGUUUGUUGGAAGAUUUCAUAAAUUAAAAAUAACAACAUUUCAUAAUAUAUAUUCAUAAUUUCUCUGUAUCCCUUGACCAAAAUUCUAAAUUCCCUUCUUGUUUCAAAUGCCUCCCAACACUUAUUUUUGUCUGAUUUCUUCCUUAUUCAUUAGGCUUUCUCUUUUGAAUCUUUCCACCUUCAUCUCCCAUAACUCUGUUAAUUCUCUUGGCUCUCUCACUCUUCAAAUUCAGCUCACUAAACUUGAUUUUGUGGUAAUCCUGUUAAGAGAGUCUGCAUUAGGUUUUCCACUUUGGGUUUCCCUCCCAUGCUUCUAAGCUCAACAAAUCAGUAAUUGUUGGAGUGAGGAACCUUAUGAGUCGGUUUUAUGAGUUGAGUUAAGUUUAAAGUAUGUUUUGUAAUAUGAAAAUUAGAGUCAUUUUGAGUCUAUCCUAAUGAGUGUUUGUUGGGCUUAUCACGUCAUCUGCUAUCGGACCACCCAUAAUAUGUUAUCCCACAUAAAGAGGUGAAGAGGUAUAAUGGAGAUCUCACAUCGACUAGAGCAGUACUAUCCAUUACUUUACAUAUUACUUUACAUAUUGUUACUAGAUCUCUGAGAAGUUGCAAAAGACUAACAAUUCCCAUUUGUUGCCUCUCAUCACAAGAUCUUAACACAUUACAAAAGAUUCACUACCACUUCUUCUAAAUCUGCCAAACUUUCUCUUCCAUUUGGGUAUCAAAAUGUUCUGAGAAGCCCUAUUCCCGCAGGUGAUGUUGGGUUUACCAAACCACCCCCACAUUCCACACAAGUCCUUCAAGAAUCUCUUUUUGCAUAUUAGUCCCAGACUGAAGCAAUGAAGAAGAUAGAGAGAGCAGCACUGAAGUUGUUGGCUCAUUCUUCUGCCUUUCUGCUGUUCUCUAAUUCCAAGUCUCCAUGAUGCUACUCCAACCUCUCACCUCUCUCUCAUUGCUUCAACCCAACAAACUUUUCAUAAUAUUCUCUUUACCUCAAAAUUUAUAAUACAAUAUUUUUAAGGUAGAAUGUGUUAAAAUUAUAUUAUUUAUGAGUUAUAUAAAUAUUAUUUUAUUAAAAUAAUAUAAGACUUAUAAAAGAUUAAAUAUAUUAAAAUUAUGUUAUUUAUGAAUUAUAUAAAUAUUUCAUUAUUUUUAAAAUAUUAUAAGAAAACGAAAAUAAAAGACUUAUCUAUUUGUAUUUAAUAAUAUUAAGAUUUUUUUUGGGGAUAUAUAUAUAUAUAUAUAUAAAAGAUGCACAUUUGAAGAUCAAUAUAAAUAUAAAUAAAUAAGAUGCAUAAAUUAAAUAAUAUAAAUAAAUAAAAUAAAUUAGUACAUAACUAAAAAUAAAUUAGUACAUAACUAAAAAUAAAUUAGAACAUAACUAAAAAUAAAUUAAAUAAUAUAAUAAAAAUAGACUAAUGUAACUAAAAACAAAAUAAAUAAAUAAAAUAAUUAAAGAGAAUGAGUUAUAAAAUAAGGAUUUAUUGAAAUUGUAUUUUUUUGUGUUCUCCUCUUUUCACCUCUCUAAUAUUUCUUUCUAACUAUACAGUGAUCUAUUUUUAUUUAUUUAUAUUUAUAUUAUUUAAUUUAUUUUUAGUCACAUAUUAAUCAUUUUUUAUUUAUUUAUAUUUAUAUUAUUUAAUUUAUCUUUAGUUAGAUAUUAAUCUAUUUUAUUUAUUUAUUAUUUAUAAAAUCUCGCUAAUAUAUUUAUAUUUCUUAAUUUAAUAUUUGUCAUUUUUUUUAAAAAUUUAUUGGCAAAUAAAUACUAUAAAAAAAUUGUAAGAGUAAAAAGUCAAUAAUAAAUAAAGAUUUAAAAAUAUAAUAAUUAAAGGUUAAAUCUUGUAAAUUUAAAUAAGUAAAUAUUAUUUAAAAUGAUGUCAUAUUGUAUUAUUCUGUCAACCAUACUUAAACUUAUUAAUUUCGAUUAGUCAAUACAAAACUAAUUAAAAUCUUUAUAACACAAAAUAAAAUAGAUUAUAUUGAUGAUAUUGUAAAGGUGAUUUGUGUCUUAAUUUUGAUAUGAUAUUAUUCUACAUGACAUUUGUUCUCAUUUUCCAUUUUUUCAAUUGUAUAUAAAAAAAAAUAUUAACUUAAAUAGAUGAAGAUGUGAAACUUUUCAAAUCUCUUUUCUAUAUUAUAGUAGUUUUAUCGAGAACAAGAUGGAAUAUAAAUAUCAUUGUCAAUUCCAUCACUUUUUCGAGAAACAUGUCUCCUUUGAUCUUGACAUUCAUUUCUGAUACGAAAAUCUUGAUCAUUCUAUAAGAACUAAUAGUGAUAACUUUGUAUGUCUUUUACCAUCUAUAUUAGUCCCUUAAUCAAAAUGGGUUCACCAAUUAUAUAAAGAAUGUAGUAGUAAUAAGAAAUAAAUGAUUUGUAGAUAAAAGAAUUUUUCCUUUCUCUCUAGGUCAUUAACAAAUAUGUAUGUAAAAUAGAAUAAAAAAUACAAUGUAAAAAUAUUUACCUCAUAUCUUCUUUUAUCAAAAGUUAUUAGAAAAUAAGUAUUUCUCAAAAAAUAAUUAUAGUAAUAAUCUGAUUAAAUUGAAAAAAAAAUGUUACAAUUAAGUGUGUGAUCUUAUGGUGUUAUGUCAAUAAUUGCUUCUAACUUCUCAACUUCAUGCUCAACAACGAGUUUAAAGUUGUUCUAUGUGAGUGUUAUGUAUUCAUAACUAAUAAUCAUGAGUAUUAAAUCAAUAGAUAUGAUUUACUAUUUAAAUAUUUCGUAAAAACCAUAUUUUUUUAGUUAUCUAAAUCUUAUUUGUAGGUAUAAUAUAAAUUAAUUUUAUUAAAGUACUUACUCAAUUCUUCCACCCAAUAUUCAUAUAUUUAAUAUUUUCAAUAGUUUUUAUUAACUUAAGCUUUGAAGAAUUAUUUACAAAUAUAUUUCUCAUCAAUAUUUCUCAAAGAUUCAGUGAUCAUAUCCUAAAAUAUCUAAUUAUAUUUCUAGAAAAUUUAUUCUUUCAAUGGAAAGUACAGCACUCAUUUUCUAUCAAAACAAUUAUCAGGUAAAAAAAGAGAAAUGAAAUUAGUCUUGUAAUAAAAGUGGAUGAGAUAAAAUGAUAGGUUGAAAGUAUAAAUCUUUCAUUAACAAAAACUACUAUAUCAAUAGCUACUUUUUUUUUUCAAAAGAAAAAAAAAUACUCUUACAAAGUUAUCGUAAAUAUACUUUAUAUGCUCUUUUCUCGGUAUACCUUCUGUCAAAAAUAAAAUAUAAUUACUCUACUACCUACUACUCUUUUAAAUCCUAUUUAUUGUCUGUUUAGAUAUAAAGUACAGCAUAAUAAAAUAAUCAUUAAAUCUCAUUAAAAGUCUGUUAUGGAAAUAAAUAUGGUUCGUUAUAUGUUAAAAGUACUUAUCACCGAGAAAUUAUUAUUUAAGUAAAACUUUGAGGGAAAUAAUAAAUAUUAUAUUAAAUGAUAUAUAGGCUGUACUUUGUUUUUAUUUAACAACUUUUAAGACAAUUAGAUAAGAUUUUUUUUUUCUCAAAAUAGUAUAAUUAAAAAUUUGAAUCUUCAUUGAAAUGAUUAUCAUGAACUCUUAUUUUGACACAUAUAAUUAACAACAAUCAUAGAUGAAAUUAUGUAGAAUUUAAGUAUAGAAAUUAUUCAAUGUAUAUAAAAUAAAAGGGUGACAUGAUCUUGAUAAAAAUAACAAAAUAUAUGAUAAAGCAUAACAUCAACAACGUUAAUGGUGAUAUAAUGAUAACUGCGAGGAUGGAUGUAACAAUGAAAAGAUGAUACCAGUUAUAAUAAAUGAUAACAAUCAUGAUAAAAAAAAAACCCAAAAAUAAAGAGUAAUAAAAUAUUAAAAGAAUAAAAAUUACAACUAAAGUUACACAUUGAUAAAAAUAUUAAUUUAGUUGUUACACUUUUAUAAAAUUAGACUUCGAAAUUAUAAUUUUAAACUAAUUCAUGUAAAUGAGAUUAAAUUAUUAAAUUCUAUUAAAAACUAAACUUAUUAAAAAUGUGUAACUCUCGUUUAAUGUAUUGAUAUUAUUAUUGUAGUGUCAUCUGAGUCCAAUAUUAUGUAUAAAGAAAUGAUCUACUGAUAUUAAUAUUAUUAGAGCAUCACGUAAGUUAAAAAAAUUUGGAUAAUCAAUGUUAAAUAAAAAAUAAUAUUUAUUAUUGAAUUAAGCUAAUAAUUAGUAAAAAAAAUAGAAUGAUAAUUUUAAUAUUUAUUAAAAAAUACAUAAUAUAUAUAUAUAUAUAAAUUAAAAGUUCAUGAAUUAUUGAUUAUACUAAAUAUUCUAGAUUUAAAAUUAUCAAUAUUUUUUUCUAUUAACAAUUUUGAAUAUCCAAUUCUAUAGUCCUACACCUACAUUUCUUGCUUAAUUUUACAGGUGAAACCGACAUUAAAAGUUAAAAAAAAAUAAAUCCUGAGAGUAAAAAAUAUUAAAAAAAUAUGAGAAGGGUGAAGAAGAAGUGUCGGUGAUGUCACCAGGGAGAAUUAUUGGGCAACAUCCUUUGUGGCUCAAACUCAUUGGUCCGUUAUACAAUCAUACAUCAAAUAUGCAUCCAUGGCUCCACCACUAUUUCCCAGCUGUAUCACCACCACAUCAUACAUCAAAUCUACCAUUCAAUCAUCAUUCAUACAUGCAUAUAUGCCAAUCACCAACCACAUCAAUAACCUUUUCUUCUUUCAUAUAUUAUGCUCUUUAACGUCUCUCCUAUGUAUCAUUCAUUCAAUUUUAUUUUUAUUAUUAUUUAUCACUUAGUUAUGCCUUCUAUUGUUUUCUCUAUUAAACGUGUUAACUCUUACCAUUAAUUACCAAUAAAUCAACUCCUUUUCCAUAAUGUCACCGACGCUAAUUAGCAACUAAGUAAAGCUUUAUAUUAACGAUUAAAAUGUACUUCUUUUCCAAUUCCAUUCUCAACAACUCAUUUUUUAGAGUUUGAUUUUCAUGUAUUGUGUCCGAUGAUAAAGUUCCCAGUAUUGUUGGAUUUUUCUGCUUUCAAUUAAAAAUACCAAAAAUUUUAUUUAUUUUUUUGAGUCCUAGACGAAGAAAUAAUGAUCCACAUGUGUUAAUGUCUGCUCUGAUUUUAUAUUUUCUCCACGUAAUGUUUUGGAGGAAAAUCUCGUUGAAAUUAUAAAUGAAGAUUAAAAAUUUAAUUUAACCUUGAAUAUGUGACAUUAUAAAAGAGUGGUAAUGCAAGAGGAAAAACUUAUUUGGGUGGGCCCCCAAAUGCGAAGCUUCUGAACCCUAACCCAAACUCGUUGAUCCAACGGCUAGUGGGGGCCCAUCUGAUAGGGACCCCACUUCCCCAACACCAAUAGCUGCCUGAGUGACAGAUGAAAGCAGAGGGUCCUGUCCUAUAUAUUUAUAAACCUUCUCCCACACUUUUCACUCUCCCUCUCAUAAAAAACCAACAGAACUCAAUGGAUCGGAAAAGUCUUCUGUCUUUCGCACUCAUCGCCGUUGUUGUCGCCGCCGUCGGAGGGCAGUCUCCAUCGGCGGCGCCCACCACGACCCCUCCGGCCUCCACCACCACUCCCUCUGCAUCCCCAGUCACUACCCCUUCUAAGCCUCAAUCACCGGCGCCGGUUGCUUCUCCCACCUCAUCUCCACCAGCUUCCUCCCACAAUGCUGCAACCGCAACCCCCGCAUCAACUCCCACGGCUUCGCCUCCGUCCAAAACUGCCGCUCCAGCUCCAGCGACCAACCCCCCGGCCUCCACACCUCCGUCUGCCACACCUCCGGCUGCUACACCUCCAGCGGUCACACCUCCAGCAGCCACACCUCCGUCUGCCACACCUCCAGCAGCUACACCUCCGGCUGCCACACCUCCAGCAGCUACACCUCCGGCUGCCACACCUCCAGCAGCCACACCUCCAGCAGCCACACCUCCUGCAGUCACACCUCCAGCGGCCACACCUCCGACUGCCACAACUCCAACAGCCACACCUCCUGCGGCCACACCUCCUGCUUUGACCCCAGUGAGCACACCGCCGGCGCAAGUUCCGGUGAGCUCUCCCCCUGCACUGGCACCGACAGUUCCGGCACCCGUGGUAGCACCGACUGCUGAGGCUCCCGCUCCGGCCCCGAAGAAGAAGACGACCAAGAAGAGUAAGAAGCACACUGCACCAGCACCGUCGCCAACAUUGCUCGGAC